rnacentral:rRNA from 1 species
AAAGUCUGAUGGAGCAACGCCGCGUGAGUGAUGAAGGUUUUCGGAUCGUAAAACUCUGUUGUAAGGGAAGAACCAGUAUGUCAGGCAAUGGACGUACCUUGACGGUACCUUAUUAGAAAGCCACGGCUAACUACGUGCCAGCAGCCGCGGUAAUACGUAGGUGGCAAGCGUUGUCCGGAUUUACUGGGUGUAAAGGGCGUGUAGCCGGGAAGGCAAGUCAGAUGUGAAAUCUGGAGGCUCAACCUCCAAACUGCAUUUGAAACUGCUUUUCUUGAGUGUCGGAGAGGUAAUCGGAAUUCCUUGUGUAGCGGUGAAAUGCGUAGAUAUAAGGAAGAACACCAGUGGCGAAGGCGGAUUACUGGACGAUAACUGACGGUGAGGCGCGAAAGCGUGGGGAGCAAACA